rnacentral:rRNA from 1 species
UACGUAGGGUGCAAGCGUUAAUCGGAAUUACUGGGCGUAAAGCGUGCGCAGGCGGUUCUAUAAGACAGAUGUGAAAUCCCCGGGCUCACCUGGGAACUGCAUUUGUGACUGUAGAGCUGGAGUGCGGCAGAGGGGGAUGGAAUUCCGCGUGUAGCAGUGAAAUGCGUAGAUAUGCGGAGGAACACCGAUGGCGAAGGCAAUCCCCUGGGCCUGCACUGACGCUCAUGCACGAAAGCGUGGGGAGCAAACAGG